rnacentral:rRNA from 1 species
UAGGGAAUCUUCCGCAAUGGACGCAAGUCUGACGGAGCAACGCCGCGUGAGUGAAGAAGGUUUUCGGAUCGUAAAACUCUGUUGUUAGAGAAGAACAAGUGCUAGAGUAACUGUUAGCGCCUUGACGGUAUCUAACCAGAAAGCCACGGCUAACUACGUGCCAGCAGCCGCGGUAAUACGUAGGUGGCAAGCGUUGUCCGGAUUUAUUGGGCGUAAAGCGAGCGCAGGCGGUUCCUUAAGUCUGAUGUGAAAGCCCCCGGCUCAACCGGGGAGGGUCACUGGAAACUGGGGAACUUGAGUGCAGAAGAGGAGAGUGGAAUUCCAUGUGUAGCGGUGAAAUGCGUAGAUAUAUGGAGGAACACCAGUGGCGAAGGCGACUCUCUGGUCUGUAACUGACGCUGAGGCUCGAAAGCGUGGGUAGCAAACAGGAUUAGAUACCCUGGUAGUCCACGCCGUAAACGAUGAGUGCUAAGUGUUGGAGGGUUUCCGCCCUUCAGUGCUGCAGUUAACGCAUUAAGCACUCCGCCUGGGGAGUACGACCGCAAGGUUG